GAAUAUUGCACAAUGGGGGAAACCCUGAUGCAGCAACGCCGCGUGAAGGAUGAAGGUUUUCGGAUUGUAAACUUCUUUAGUCGGGGACGAAAAAAUGACGGUACCCGAAGAAUAAGCCACGGCUAACUACGUGCCAGCAGCCGCGGUAAUACGUAGGUGGCGAGCGUUGUCCGGAUUUACUGGGUGUAAAGGGCGUGUAGGCGGGUCUGCAAGUCAGAUGUGAAAUUUCAGGGCUCAACCCUGGAGCUGCAUCUGAAACUGUGGAUCUUGAGUGCUGGAGAGGAAAGCGGAAUUCCUAGUGUAGCGGUGAAAUGCGUAGAUAUUAGGAGGAACACCAGUGGCGAAGGCGGCUUUCUGGACAGUAACUGACGCUGAGGCGCGAAAGCGUGGGGAGUGAACAGG
rnacentral:rRNA from 1 species